CAGAGCAAUGGUGGAAUUAUCUUGGUAUCCUAUCACCAACAAUUUUAUGGCAUAAAGGAAGAUUAAAGACACAUGGUGGAUACCGAGGGCUUCUUGCUAUUUGGCUGGGUCAGCAGCAGGUCUGAAGCUCUCAUUUGUUAUCUCCCAGGGGGAAAGGAUAGAAAGAGGGAAGGAUGUUCCAACAAUUAACAGAACAAAGGAGGAAAACAAAACAAAAAGGAAUGCAUCAUCCUGGCAGAUGUAACACUACAGACAAGAAAAUAUGAAACAGGAAAGAAUAUGAACCGUGCAGAGAAAAAUAA